AGACUUUAGAGGCGCAUUGCAACAACCCAGCUGUCUGAGGCACAGUCCUUUGAAAUUAGUGCAAAUGACCCAAAACGUAGAAAAGAGCGGAGAAGGAGAUUAAACACCUUCGUCCGGAGCCCUGGGGAACGUCAAAAUCACAGUGAGCUCAUCGUUUUAUUCAGCCUGGAGAAAAUCAUGCAGGAAAUUCAUGCAAGUGUGUAAGAUGAUGAAAGCCAUCGGUUGUGUGGAUAGCCAGAGGCUUUUUCCCAGGGCUGAAACAGCUAACACGAAGGGGCAGAGGUUUAAGCUGCUUGGAAUUAGGCCUGUGGUGAGAGAUUUAUUGGAAGAAGAACCCACAACUGGAAGCAAACCAGAACUGAUGAUGAGGGAACAGCAGCAAGUGAACCAGCCCGAGGACUGAGAGCACCAACUGUAGAGAACCAUUCUGACUCAGGGUUUCCAUUGAUUCAAUCAGGAGAAAGUUCGCCCAGAGAUUUGAGGGGCGAAGAAUAUGUCAGCCAAAAGUGCAGUCAGCUCGACUUCUUCACUCUGCAGGAAAUUCAAGGGAAACCUCUUCAUCCACAGAGUGGUGACUGUUUGGCACCCAUCACCACAGGGAGAGGGAGAGGGGAACAACAGAGGAGGAUUUAAAAGGACUGUCGUGGACUUCUGGUUGGCGGUGGAUGGAAUAGCGGCAUUUUACAGCCGUUACCAGUUUACUUUACUUUUCCUACUUUCCAACCUGAUCUGACACUAUGACUACGAGAACUGCUAAAGGUAAAAAAAGAAGAUUCUUCUACAUCUUUGGAUUAUAUUAAUGAUUCGAUGCAAAAGCACAGAAAGGAAGCGUCCGAGGAAUUGCAGCGAUUCAGAAAGGAAUCCUCCGAAGAGUUUCAACAACUUGGCUCUGAAAUUAAACAAUUAAGCACCAAACUGGAUUCAAUUCAAGAAACACCAAAUGAGCACGGUAAAUGAAUAAAAGAGAAUGAAGAAACCUUGUCGAUUCUGGGUGAGAAAAUGGACGACCUGCAAAAGCGUUAUGAGAAUCAAUCCAAGGUUAAUGACGAACUAAGGCAGAGGAUUAUUGACUUGGAAAACAGAAGUAGAAGGAAUAACGUACGAAUUCUUGGUCUUGAAGAGUUAACUGAAGGCGAUCAUCCAACGGAAUUUUUUGCAAACUUUCUGGUUCAGUUAUUUCCUGAUAUUUUAAAAUGAGCACCAAUGAUCCACCGAGCGCACAGGAUACCUGGGAACAGAAUGUUUACAAGCAAACCUCGCUCAGUGUUAAUCGCUUUUCAUGAGUUUCAAAGGACCGUGUAAUUUGUGAUUCUCAUCGGAAAGAUCCAGAACAUUAAACUCCAGUCCCAUUAAAGGUGAAUGUGCAGAAGAAACUCCUCCCAUGCCUACUGACGAGGGUGCAGAACUGUGUGUGAGAAGCUGGCCAAACUUGCUUGGAACGGAAAACUGGUAGGAGUGACGACAGAGCAGCAAUGGUUGCAGUUUCUGGGAGCAAUUCGGGAGCUGACUGAUAGAUACAUCCCAAAGAAAUGGAAGCAUUUGAAAGGCAGGAGGACACAAUGGUGGCUGAAAUGAGAAACCAAAGCCAACAUAAAAGCCAAAGAGAGAGCAAACAAAAGAGCAAAAACUACUGGGAAGCUUUUAGAAACCAACCUGAGUUCAUUUGACCAACUAAAAAGUCAGAUGAGCUCAGGGCGUGGAAUGAUGGCGUUGUUGUCAUUAAUGAGUCUUGGUAGCACCCAACAGUCUGAGGCACUUAGAGGAACAAAAUAUCCGGGCCUCAAUAUCUCUUGAAAACCAAGGUUCCCUGCACCAGUUACCUUUCAACCUUUAUUUUGACAGGCUCAUACAAACUCUACACCCUCAAAACUUCACUUCUGAAGGCCCCUCACUUUCCAAGUACUCCUUUGCCAGAAAACAGCCUGUCCCAAACCACACUUGUCAGAUUCUUUCUGAUACCAUCAAAAUUGACCUUUCUCCAACUUAGAAUCUCAACCCAUGAUCCAGACCUCUUUUUUUCCAUAUUUACUUUGAAUCUCAUGGCAUUAUGAUCACUAGGUACAAAGUGUUCCCAUACACUAGUUUCUGUCACCAGCCCUGGAUCAUUUCCUAACAGCUUACUGCACACUUCUACAUCAGGAAUUCUACGUACUGAUUAAGGGCACAUUUGACAAACUCUACCCCAUCGAGUCCUUUUACAGUAUGGAGUCCCAGUCAAUAUACGGAAACUUAAAAUCACUUACUAUAUCAACCUUUGUUUCUUGGCGUAGUCUGCGAUCUCUCUACAAAUUUGUUCCGCUCAAUCCCUCAGACUGUUGGGUGCAACAAAGUCCCAGUAAUGGCAACAAUAUCAUAAUUCCCUGUCCCGAGCUUAUCUGGGUUUCCUACAAUGCUUCUUGCAUUGUGAUAUACAGAGCUCAGGACAGUCGUCACACCAUGCUCAACCUUUUGAUUGCGGACUUUGUCUGAGGUCUGAACAACAUCUGUCCGGUGUCAAAACAACCUCUGUGGGACAGCUUCUUCCACCAGUACAUCAGACUGAUUAAUUCAAUGCUGAAAGAACUGUAUUUCAAAGUUAUAUUGACUGUCCUGUUGUACAUACAAUUUAUUAUAAAUUACUAUAAAUUGCACAUUGCACAUUUAGAUGGAGAUGUAACAAAGAUUUCUACACCUCAUGUAUAUGCAGGAUAUAAGUAAUAAAGUCAAUGCA